rnacentral:rRNA from 1 species
UAUCUCUGUAGAGUCUGCAUAUCAAUAAGCGGAGGAAAAGAAACUAACAAGGAUUCCCCUAGUAACGGCGAGUGAAGCGGGAAGAGCUCAAAUUUGAAAUCUUCAAGGUUUGACCUUGACGAAUUGUAGUUUAAAGAAGUGUUUUCGGUUAGAGGAGUAGUAAAAGUUCUUUGGAAUAGGACAUCAUAGAGGGUGAGAAUCCCGUAUUUGACUAUUCUUUCUAGCUUUGUGAUACACUUUCAAAGAGUCGGAUUGUUUGGGAAUGCAGUCCAAAAUGGGUGGUAAAUUUCAUCUAAAGCUAAAUAUUGGCGAGAGACCGAUAGCGAACAAGUACCGUGAGGGAAAGAUGAAAAGAACUUUGAAAAGAGAGUUAAACAGUACGUGAAAUUGUCAAAAGGGAAGCGUUUGACACCAGUGUUGUUUUUCCGAAAAUCAAUUAAAAAUUGAUUCAUGCCAGGUUGUAUUGACCUUAUCAGCUUGCAAUUUGGUUUUGGGUCUCUUUUUGAUGCACUUUUCGGUUAACAAGUCAACAUCAAUUUCCUUUGCUGUAAAAAGGUAAGAGGAAGGUGGCUUCAAUUUCGGUUGAAGUGUUUAUAGCCUUUUAUCUCUGCAGUCGGGGAGAUUGAGGUCUGCAGCGUAGAUCCUUCGGGGCUAGAUACAUUUAUGCUAAGUUAUAGCUUUUCAUAGACAACUUGUUGACUACGUUUAGUCAUGUAGGCUUACUCGUAGUGCUAUUUUACCUACGCUUAGGAUGUUGAAGACUCUACAGAGAUA